UCAGUUCAGAUUGCAGGCUGCAACCCGCCUGCAUGAAGUCGGAAUUGCUAGUAAUCGCGGAUCAGCAUGCCGCGGUGAAUACGUUCCCGGGCCUUGUACACACCGCCCGUCACACCAUGGGAGCCGGUAAUACCCGAAGUCAGUAGUCCAACCUCGUGAGGACGCUGCCGAAGGUAGGAUUGAUAACUGGGGUGAAGUCGUAACAAGGUAAC
rnacentral:rRNA from 1 species